rnacentral:rRNA from 1 species
AGUGAAGGCCUAAAUACUCUGAAGAUACUAGAUCCCAUCUGAUCUUGGAAGCUAAAAAGAGACAGGUCUGGUUAGUACUUGGAUGAGAGACCACCAAAAAGUAAUAGAUGCUGUAGCCU